ensembl:lncRNA POU2F1-DT POU2F1 divergent transcript
GCCUUUCUCCUGCCGCCAGAAGUGUCGCCGGCGCAUGCGCUCCCUCUAGCUCAGAACCAGAUUAUAUAGUAUCCCGGGCGCCUGUGUCUUCUUACACUUCUCCCUUUUCCUCCCGCCUUGCUUCCCUCCUGGCUUCGCUCCGGUCUCCCCCAGUGGCCUGUGGCAUUGUAAAAGCACGGCAAGGAGCGCAGCGGCCAGAAACGUGGGGGCGCGUGGAAGGGCAGUGAGCGGCCCGCGUGCCCUGUGCUCCGCACUUUCUUCAGGGUUUCCGCGCAGUUGAAACAUUGGCAACAAUGGAUAAGCCGCUCCUCGCUAGGUAAUUUCCGGCCCUCUGGGCAGGUAGGGGCGGAAACGACCGCCACGGGAGCCGGGCAUGAGGCACCUGCUGAGCCACACGCGGGCCUCCCGCUUUAAAUUUGAAUCCGAGCUAAUCCCCGCCCCCGGCUCUGCUAGUGCAGGAGACCCGGCCCCGGCAAACGCGAGGGGGAGUGUCGUGUGAUUGUUUUAAUUAGCCCUAAAUCUCUUCUGCUCUACUUGCUUCUAACGCCAGGCUGGCUUCCUCGGGAGCUAGGCGUCUUAUUAAGUCGCUAAUUUCCGCCCUACCCUUCCUUUCUGCCUUCACGCCCCUCUAACGCCGCUCCCCCCAAUCGAAACAGACCCCAUAUUCUGAGGCUUCCCCCCGCGCCUUCUUCCCGCCUUGGAACACCUUUUAAAACCUAGCAGUAAGCUGAUGACUAAUAAAAAUGUCGAAAUCGUAACUUCAUCGU